CAGCAGCCACGGUAAUACGUAGGGUGCAAGCGUUAAUCGGAAUUACUGGGCGUAAAGCGUGCGCAGGCGGUUUGUUAAGACAGAUGUGAAAUCCCCGGGCUCAACCUGGGAACUGCAUUUGUGACUGGCAAGCUAGAGUCUGGCAGAGGGGGGUGGAAUUCCGCGUGUAGCAGUGAAAUGCGUAGAUAUGCGGAGGAACACCGAUGGCGAAGGCAGCCCCCUGGGCCAACACUGACGCUCAUGCACGAAAGCGUGGGGAGCAAACAGGAUUAGAUACCCGCGUAGUCCCUGUCUCUUAUAA
rnacentral:rRNA from 1 species